GACGAACGCUGGCGGCGUGCCUAACACAUGCAAGUCGAACGAAGCAUAGCAAUAUGCUUAGUGGCGGACGGGUGAGUAACGCGUGAACAAUCUGCCCUGUACAAAGGAAUAGCCUCGGGAAACCGGGAUUAAAACCGUAUGACACUUUAGUAUCGCAUGAUAAGAAAGUCAAAUCGAAUAGAGGUAUGGGAUGAGUUCGCGUCUGAUUAGCUGGUUGGCGGGGUAACGCCCACCAAGGCGACGAUCAGUAGCCGGCCUGAGAGGGUGAACGGCCACACUGGAACUGAGACACGGUCCAGACUCCUACGGGAGGCAGCAGUGGGGAAUAUUGCACAAUGGAGGGAACUCUGAUGCAGCGACGCCGCGUGAGUGAAGAAGGUCUUCGGAUCGUAAAACUCUGUCCUUGGUGAAGAAAAGGACGGUAGCCAAGGAGGAAGCCCCGGCUAACUACGUGCCAGGCAGCCGCGGUAAAACGUAGCGUG
rnacentral:rRNA from 1 species